UCCAAAGCUAUAGGCAAUUGGAAAGUGCUU
rnacentral:piRNA from 1 species